CCUACGGGUGGCAGCAGUGAGGAAUAUUGGUCAAUGGGCGGAAGCCUGAACCAGCCAAGUAGCGUGCAGGAUGACGGCCCUACGGGUUGUAAACUGCGUUUAUACGGGAAUAACGCGCCUUACGUGUAGGGCUUUGCAUGUACCGUAUGAAUAAGGACCGGCUAAUUCCGUGCCAGCAGCCGCGGUAAUACGGAAGGUCCGGCCGUUAUCCGGUUUUGUUGGGUUGAAAGGGAGCGUAGGCCGCAUGUCAAGCGUGCUGUGAAAUGUCCGGGCUCAACCCGGGCCUUGCAGGGGGAACUGGCGUGCUGGAGUCCGCGGAAGGCAGGCGGAAUUCGUCGUGUAGCGGUGAAAUGCUUAGAUAUGACGAAGAACCCCGAUUGCGAAGGCAGCUUGCUGCAGCGGAACUGACGCUGAUGCUCGAAAGCGCGGGUAUCGAACAGGAUUAGAUACCCGUGUAGUC
rnacentral:rRNA from 1 species